UUCCGGUUGAUCCUGCCGGACCCUACUGCUAUCGGGGUGGGACUAAGACAUGCGAGUCGAGCGUCUCUAGCUAUGUUGAGACGCGGCAUACGGCUCAGUAACGCGUGGCUAACCUACCCUCAGGACGGAGACAACCCCGGGAAACUGGGACUAAUAUCCGAUAGGCGAGGAGGCCUGGAAUGGUUUCUCACCUAAAAGACUUUGGAAACAUGCUUUCAUUGUUGCCUGAGGAUGGGGCCGCGCCCGAUCAGGUUGUUGGUGAGGUAAUGGCUCACCAAGCCUAUAACCGGUACGGGCCGUGAGAGCGGUAGCCCGGAGAUGGGUACUGAGACAAGGACCCAGGCCCUACGGGGCGCAGCAGUCGCGAAAACUCCGCAAUGCACGAAAGUGUGACGGGGCUACCCCGAGUGCUCUCCGCUGAGGAAAGCUUUUCCCUGGUAUAACUAGCCAGGGGAAUAAGGAGAGGGCAAGACUGGUGUCAGCCGCCGCGGUAAUACCAGCUCUCCGAGUGGUAGGGAUGAUUAUUGGGCUUAAAGCGUCCGUAGCCGGCUUAGCAAGUCUCCUGUUAAACUCAGCGACUUAAUCGUUGAAUCGCGGGAGAUACUAUUAGGCUAGGAGGCGGGAGAGGUCGACGGUACUUCUGGGGUAGGGGUGAAAUCCUAUAAUCCCGGGAGGACCACCAGUGGCGAAGGCUGUCGACUAGAACGCGCUCGACGGUGAGGGACGAAAGCUGGGGGAGCGAACCGGAUUAGAUACCCGGGUAGUCCCAGCUGUAAACGAUGCGGGCUAGGUGUUGGAAUGGCUACGUGCCAUUUCAGUGCCGCAGGGAAGCCAUUAAGCCCGCCGCCUGGGGAGUACGGCCGCAAGGCUGAAACUUAAAGGAAUUGGC
rnacentral:rRNA from 1 species